rnacentral:sRNA from 1 species
UGGUCUAGAGAAGGAUAAAGCAUUGCUUA